rnacentral:rRNA from 1 species
UACGUAGGGUGCGAGCGUUGUCCGGAAUUAUUGGGCGUAAAGGGCUCGUAGGCGGUCUGUUGCGUCAGGAGUGAAAACUCGGGGCUUAACCCCGAGCCUGCUUCUGAUACGGGCAGACUAGAGGUAUGCAGGGGAGAACGGAAUUCCUGGUGUAGCGGUGAAAUGCGCAGAUAUCGAGAGGAACACCAGUGGCGAAGGCGAGUCUCUGGACGACACCUGACACUGAGGCACGAAAGCUAGGGGAGCAAACAGG